rnacentral:rRNA from 1 species
GAUGAACGCUGGCGGCGCGCCUAACACAUGCAAGUCGAACGGUUAAAGCACCUUUUAGGUGUGUAUAAAGUGGCGAACGGCUGAGUAACACGUGGGCAACCUGCCCUCCUCUUGGGGAUAGCCUCGGGAAACCGAGGAUAAUACCCGAUACUUCAAUGUGGCCGCAUGACGACAUUGAGAAAGCUUUUGCGGAGAAGGAUGGGCCCGCGGCCUGUUAGCUUGUUGGUGGGGUAGAGGCCUACCAAGGCAAUGAUGGGUAGCUGGGUUGAGAGACCGACCAGCCAGAUUGGGACUGAGAAACGGCCCAGACUCCUACGGGAGGCAGCAGUGGGGAAUCUUGCACAAUGGGCGAAAGCCUGAUGCAGCGACGCCGCGUGCGGGACGAAGGCCUUCGGGUUGUAAACCGCUUUCAGCAGGGACGAGGCGAUAAGUGACGGUACCUGCAGAAGAAGCCCCGGCUAACUACGUG